UGGCAGCAGUGAGGAAUAUUGCGCAAUGGAGGAAACUCUGACGCAGCCACGCCGCGUGCAGGAUGACACCCCUACGGGGCGUAAACUGCUUUUAUACGAGAAGAAGUCCUGGUUCUGCCAGGUUUGACGGUAUCGUAUGAAUAAGCACCGGCUAACUCCGUGCCAGCAGCCGCGGUAAUACGGAGGGUGCAAGCGUUGUCCGGAAUCACUGGGUGUAAAGGGUGUGUAGGCGGGACUGUAAGUCAGAAGUGAAAUCCCACGGCUCAACCGUGGAACUGCUUUUGAUACUGCAGUUCUUGAGUAUCGGAGAGGUUGCUAGAAUUCGUGGUGUAGCGGUGAAAUGCGUAGAUAUCACGAGGAAUACCAGAGGCGUAGGCGGGCAACUGGACGAUUACUGACGCUGAGGCACGAAAGCGUGGGGAGCAAACAGGAUUAGAUACCCCAGUAGUC
rnacentral:rRNA from 1 species